AAAAUGUGUAAAGUUAUUAAUUUUCAAAAAUCGUCAAAACAAAUAUUUAUAGUUUAAUUGUUAAACAACUUCGUGAAUAUACACAUUAUUCGGAUACAGAUGAACCUGAGCUUAACCCCGUGUAACAUGAUGUAACAUCAAAGAUACGACCGACAAAGACGACAGUCAAUUAGGCUUUUUUCAAAUUGAAUCAUGAAUGUCCAACAAGUCAACAAAUAUUGAGAUUGUCUGAAACAGUGGGUAGACUGAACAACAAAGUCAACAUUGUUA